rnacentral:rRNA from 1 species
UACAGAGGUCCCAAGCGUUGUUCGGAUUCACUGGGCGUAAAGGGUGCGUAGAUGGCGAGGUAAGUCGGAUGUGAAAGCUCGGAGCUCAACUCCGAAAUGGCAUUGGAAACUACCUUGCUCGAGGGUUGGAGGGGGGACUGGAAUUCUCGGUGUAGCAGUGAAAUGCGUAGAUAUCGAGAGGAACACCAGUGGCGAAGGCGAGUCCCUGGACAACUCCUGACACUGAGGCACGAAAGCUAGGGGAGCAAACAGG